GAUUCCAGGCAGGGUUUGUUCAGGGUAGAUUCCUGGAGCCUCCAUCCUGAAAGCAGUCCUGUGCAGCAGCAGCUUUACCCCGCCCAGACUUUGGAGCAAGUUGCUGCUGGAGUGGCAGAAAGGGCAAGAGUUUAAGGAUAGAAGUCCCUCAUCUUCCUUGUGAAGACAGAAGUGAAAAAUAAACAAGAAGCCUAACUGGCCAUGGACUGUGCCUCUUCAUUGGGAGUUUAUAUGUACAUACACAGACAUACAUAUUGUUAAAAGUUUCAUUUUCAAGAAUUAGCAUCAAUACAGUUGUAUUUCUCCAUCUGUCACUUCAAGAUCAACUGCCAGCU